rnacentral:rRNA from 1 species
GGUUAAGCGACUAAGCGUACACGGUGGAUGCCCUGGCAGUCAGAGGCGAUGAAGGGCGUGCUAAUCUGCGAUAAGCGCCGGUAAGGUGAUAUGAACCGUUAUAACCGGCGAUACCCGAAUGGGGAAACCCAGUGUGAUUCGUCACACUAUCAUUAACUGAAUCCAUAGGUUAAUGAGGCGAACCGGGGGAACUGAAACAUCUAAGUACCCCGAGGAAAAGAAAUCAACCGAGAUUCCCCCAGUAGCGGCGAGCGAACGGGGAGGAGCCCAGAGCCUGAAUCAGCAUGUGUGUUAGUGGAAGCGUCUGGAAAGGCGCGCGAUACAGGGUGACAGCCCCGUACACAAAAGCGCAUAUGCUGUGAGCUCGAUGAGUAGGGCGGGACACGUGGUAUCCUGUCUGAAUAUGGGGGGACCAUCCUCCAAGGCUAAAUACUCCUGACUGACCGAUAGUGAACCAGUACCGUGAGGGAAAGGCGAAAAGAACCCCGGCGAGGGGAGUGAAAAAGAACCUGAAACCGUGUACGUACAAGCAGUGGGAGCCCCACCACUAAGCCAGUGGUGAACUCCACAUACGCAUCCUUUGCUGAGGAGACGGUUAACGGAGCGAAAGCGACGUUCAACCUCAAAAGAAGCAGAGGGGGCUUAGUGGUGGGGUGACUGCGUACCUUUUGUAUAAUGGGUCAGCGACUUAUAUUCUGUAG